rnacentral:rRNA from 1 species
AUUGAACGCUGGCGGCAGGCCUAACACAUGCAAGUCGAACGGUAACAGGAAGAAGCUUGCUUCUUUGCUGACGAGUGGCGGACGGGUGAGUAAUGUCUGGGAAACUGCCUGAUGGAGGGGGAUAACUACUGGAAACGGUAGCUAAUACCGCAUAACGUCGCAAGACCAAAGAGGGGGACCUUCGGGCCUCUUGCCAUCGGAUGUUCCCAGAUGGGAUUAGCUAGUAGGUGGGGUAACGGCUCACCUAGGCGACGAUCCCUAGCUGGUCUGAGAGGAUGACCAGCCACACUGGCACUGAGACACGGUCCAGACUCCUACGGGAGGCAGCAGUAGGGAAUAUUGCACAAUGGGCGCAAGCCUGAUGCAGCCAUGCCGCGUGUAUGAAGAAGGCCUUCGGGUUGUAAAGUACUUUCAGCGGGGAGGAAGGGAGUAAAGUUAAUACCUUUGCUCAUUGACGUUACCCGCAGAAGAAGCACCGGCUAACUCCGUG